GAGCGAGAAGCUUAAGUUUGACGCUUCGGUUGAUUUCUUAAGUGGAAAGCGGCGAAAGGGUGAGUAACGCGUAGUUAUCUGCCCCAGGGUCUGGAAUAGCCUCGGGAAACUGAGGGUAAUGCCAGAUAAUAUCUCCGGAUCAAAGGUGUGAUUCCGCCCUGGGAGGAGACUGCGUACUACUAGCUUGUUGGUGGGGUAAAGGCCUACCAAGGCUACGAUGGUUAGCGGGCGUGAGAGCGUGGCCCGUCACACUGGGACUGAGACACUGCCCAGACACCUACGGGUGGCUGCAGUCGAGAAUCUUCGGCAAUGGACGAAAGUCUGACCGAGCGAUGCCGCGUGCGGGAUGAAGGCCCUCGGGUUGUAAACCGCUGUCAGUUGGGAGGAAGGCUCCGUGAAGAGCGGAGUUUGACCUAUCUUCAGAGGAAGUACGGGCUAAGUUCGUGCCAGCAGCCGCGGUAACACGAACCGUACGAACGUUAUUCGGAAUUAUUGGGCUUAAAGGGUGCGUAGGCGGCGUUGUAGGUGGGGUGUGAAAGCCCUCGGCUCAACCGAGGAAUUGCGCCCCAAACCACAGUGCUAGAGGGAGACAGAGGUAAGCGGAACUGAUGGUGGAGCGGUGAAAUGCGUUGAUAUUAUCAGGAACACCGGUGGCGAAAGCGGCUUACUGGGUCUCUUCUGACGCUGAGGCACGAAAGCUAGGGUAGCGAACGGGAUUAGAUACCCCGGUAGUCCUAGCUGUAAACGAUGAGCACUUGGCUGGGGAUCCCCCCAUAGGUUCCCGGCCGAAGCGAAAGUGUU
rnacentral:rRNA from 1 species